GAUGAACGCUGGCGGCGUGCCUAAUACAUGCAAGUCGAGCGAACAGAUGUGUUUCUUGCUCCUCUGACGUUAGUGGCGGACGGGUGAGUAACACUUGGAUAACCUACCUAUCAGACUGGGAUUACUUCUGGAAACCGGAGCUAAUACCGGAUAAUAUAUUCAGCCUCAUGGUUCAAUAGUGUAUGACUGUUUUGCUGUCACUUAUAUAUGGUUCCGCGCCGCAUUAGCUAGUUGGUUAGGUAACGGCUUACCACGGCAACGAUGCGUAGCCGACCUGGGAGAGGGAAAGGCGACAGUGGGAGAGGAACACGGGCCAGACUGCUACGGGGAGCAGGAGUAGGGAAUUAUGCGAAGUGGGAGAGAGGAAGACGGAGCAAUGGGGGAUGAGUGAAGAGAGUAAUGGGGUCGUGAAGCACAGGUAUUAGGGGAGGACAAAUGCGUAAGUAACAAAACAAGUAAUGACGGUACCUAAUGAGAAAGCAACGGCUAACUACGUG
rnacentral:rRNA from 1 species